rnacentral:rRNA from 1 species
UACGUAGGGUGCGAGCGUUGUCCGGAAUUAUUGGGCGUAAAGCGCACGUAGGCGGUCUUUUAAGUCGGGGGUGAAAUCCUGGAGCUCAACUCCAGAACUGCCUUCGAUACUGGAAGACUCGAGUCCGGGAGAGGUGAGUGGAACUGCGAGUGUAGAGGUGAAAUUCGUAGAUAUUCGCAAGAACACCAGUGGCGAAGGCGGCUCACUGGCCCGGUACUGACGCUGAGGUGCGAAAGCGUGGGGAGCAAACAGG